AAAUCGGUUCAGGAGCGCGGCCGCUUCUUCUGCGGAUCGUAGUGCGACAGCGGCACGACGAUUGCGGGCAGGC
rnacentral:sRNA from 1 species